ACACCUAUGAUGAACUGUGAUUACCUUUGGUGGCCUCUUUGUCAUGCUCUUCUGUCUCGUCGGCUGAGGAGGCUUCUGCAUCUGAGGACUCGCGUGCCUCGUCGCUUCCCGGUGCCGCGUGAGGCUGCAGGUCUGCUUUUCCCGAGGACACGGGCUCCUCGGUGUUCCUCCCCUCCUGCGCCGUGGCUGGAGCAGAAGUCGAGGUGACAAAUAUGUGGGAUAGCAAUGGCGACGACAGAGGCGGACCACACAGAGGCCAUGAAGGGAAACUGAGCAACUCCACGGUCAACGGGAGAGGAUCUGACUUACCGGUUGGAGAAUCACGCGAUGAUGGGCUUGCCUGAAGAGGGAAUCCUCGGUACAAGGCGUCAGCAGGAGCAGGCCUGCAUGCCUGCAUGGACAAAAAGGACAUAAACUGGACUUCAGUGGGAGAUUAUAUGACAUUUGACAAAGAAAAAGAAAAAGUACAAAGGUAAAGAAAGAGACGGAAAUGUAAGUGUAAUGGAAGGGUUUCAAUUUAAUUGGAAAAAAGGAACCCAAAAUGUACAAACUGGCUAUUGUGUCAAGCAAUCCUCGUGUUUGUUGUGGAUUUUCUAUUGAUUGGUUGAACAAAAAUCAGAUUCAGAGCUUUAGAAAUGUAAUGUCUAGUUACAUUCCAGUCCUCCAUUUUGUGCGCAUGCUAAACUAAUACUUUACUAAUCUGAAUAAAGAAAAAAAGAUGGUGAAUAGCC